UACGGAGGAUGCAAGCGUUAUCCGGAAUGAUUGGGCGUAAAGCGUCCGCAGGUGGCAUUUCAAGUCUGCUGUCAAAGACCCCAGCUUAACUGGGGAUCGGCAGUGGAAACUGAGAAGCUAGAGAGCAAUAGGGGUAGAGGGAAUUCCCGGUGUAGCGGUGAAAUGCGUAGAGAUCGGGAAGAACACCAGUGGCGAAAGCGCUCUACUAGGUUGCAUCUGACACUGAGGGACGAAAGCUAGGGGAGCGAAUGGG
rnacentral:rRNA from 1 species